rnacentral:rRNA from 1 species
UACGUAGGGUGCGAGCGUUGUCCGGAAUUAUUGGGCGUAAAGGGCGCGUAGGCGGUUUCUUAAGUUUGGAGUGACAGUGGGUGGCUUAACUACCCAAGGCCUCUGAAAACUGGGGAACUUGAGGACCAGAGAGGGACAUAGAAUUCCGGGUGGAGUGGUGAAAUGCGUAGAUAUCCGGAGGAAUACCAAAGGCGAAGGCAGUGUCCUGGAGGGUGACUGACGCUGAGGCGCGAAAGCUAGGGGAGCAAACAGG